UACGUAGGGGGGCAAGCGUUGUCCGGAAUCAUUGGGCGUAAAGAGCGUGUAGGCGGCUUGGUAAGUCCGCUGUGAAAGCCAGGGCUCAACCCUGGAAUGCCGGUGGAAACUGUCAAGCUUGAGUCCGGAAGAGGCGAGUGGAAUCCUGGUGUAGCGGUGAAAUGCGCAGAUAUCAGGAGGAACACCAUGGCGAAGGCAGCUCGCUGGGACGGUACUGACGCUGAGACGCGAAGCGUGGGGAGCAAACAGG
rnacentral:rRNA from 1 species